rnacentral:rRNA from 1 species
CCUACGGGGGGCAGCAGUGGGGAAUAUUGGACAAUGGGGGGAACCCUGAUCCAGCCAUGCCGCGUGUGUGAAGAAGGCCCUCGGGUUGUAAAGCACUUUCAGUGAGGAAGAACGCCUGGUGGUUAAUACCCAUCAGGAAAGACAUCACUCACAGAAGAAGCACCGGCUAACUCCGUGCCAGCAGCCGCGGUAAUACGGAGGGUGCGAGCGUUAAUCGGAAUUACUGGGCGUAAAGCGCGCGUAGGUGGCUUGAUAAGCCGGUUGUGAAAGCCCCGGGCUCAACCUGGGAACGGCAUCCGGAACUGUCAAGCUAGAGUGCAGGAGAGGAAGGUAGAAUUCCCGGUGUAGCGGUGAAAUGCGUAGGGAUCGGGAGGAAUACCAGUGGCGAAGGCGGCCUUCUGGACUGACACUGACACUGAGGUGCGAAAGCGUGGGUAGCAAACAGGAUUAGAUACCCUGGUAGUC